AAGGCCAGGCUGAAGACUUUGCCGGAUUAGCUGAGAGGUGGUGCAUGGCCGUCGUCAGUUCGUACUGUGAAGCAUCCUGUUAAGUCAGGCAACGAGCGAGACCCACGCCCACAGUUGCCAGCGUACUCUCUGGAGUGACGGGUACACUGUGGGGACCGCCGCUGCUAAAGCGGAGGAAGGAAUGGGCAACGGUAGGUCAGUAUGCCCCGAAUAUCCCGGGCUACACGCGAGCUACAAUGGUUGGUACAAUGGGUAUCUACCCCGAAAGGGGACGGGAAUCUCCUAAAACCAAUCUUAGUUCGGAUUGAGGGCUGCAACUCGCCCUCAUGAAGCUGGAAUCCGUAGUAAUCGCGUUUCAACAGAACGCGGUGAAUACGUCCCUGCUCCUU
rnacentral:rRNA from 1 species